rnacentral:rRNA from 1 species
UUGGAGGGCAAGUCUGGUGCCAGCAGCCGCGGUAAUUCCAGCUCCAAUAGCGUAUAUUAAAGUUGUUGCAGUUAAAAAGCUCGUAGUUGAAUUUCGAGACCGGUUUACUGGUCGUGCUUUUGUACGUACUGGUAUUAUUGGUUUCUCCUUUCUGACGAAUCAUAAUGCCAUUAAUUUGGUGUUUUGGGGAAUCAGGACUGUUACUUUGAAAAAAUUAGAGUGUUUAAAGCAGGCUCACGCUUGAAUACAUUAGCAUGGAAUAACGAAAUAGGACGUUUGAUUUUAUUUUGUUGGUUUCUAGGAUCACCGUAAUGAUUAAUAGGGAUAGUUGGGGGCAUUAGUAUUCAAUUGUCAGAGGUGAAAUUCUUGGAUUUAUUGAAGACUAACUACUGCGAAAGCAUUUGCCAAGGAUGUUUUCAUUAAUCAAGAACGAAAGUUAGGGGAUCGAAGACGAUCAGAUACCGUCGUAGUCUUAACCAUAAACUAUGCCGACUAGGGAUCGGAUGAUGUUAAUUUUUUAAUGACUCAUUCGGCGCCUUACGGGAAAC